UCAAGCUACUAAGGGCAUACGGCGGAUGCCUAGGCGCCAUGAGCCGAAGAAGGACGCGGUAAGCUGCGAAAAGCCACGGGGAACUGCAAGCAAGUAUAGAUCCGUGGAUAUCCGAAUGGGGAAACCCAACUACCGUCAUGGGUAGUUAUCCGAAAGGAAGGGAACCUGGGGAACUGAAACAUCUAAGUACCCGGAGGAAAAGAAAUCAAACGAGAUGCCCACAGUAGCGGCGAGCGAAGAGGGCAGAGCCCAAACCGUAAAGCUACGGCUUUACGGGGUUGAGGACCGGCAGAAUCGAAGUCAGGUCUAGCUGAACUACCUGGAAAGGUAGGCUAAAGAGUGUAAAAGCCACGUAAGCGAAAGACAGAGCGGAGAGGCCGAGAUCCAGAGUACCACGAAGCACGAGGAAUUUUGUGGGAAGCAGGGGGGACCACCCUCCAAGGCUAAAGACUAAAUGGCGACCGAUAGCGCAUAGUACCGUGAGGGAAAGGUGAAAAGAACCCCGGGAGGGGAGUGAAAGAGUACCUGAAACCGUAUGUCUACAAGCAGUCGGAGCGAAAGCGACGGCGUGCCUAUUGAAGAAUGAACCAACGAGUUACGUGCAGUAGCGAGGUUAAGUGGAAGACACGGAGCCGAAGCGAAAGCGAGUCUUAAGAGGGCGACUAGUUGCUGUACGUAGACCCGAAACCGCAGUGAUCUACCCAUGUCCAGGUUGAAGCGCAGGUAAAAUUGCGUGGAGGACCGAACCGGUGAGCGUUGAAAAGCUUUCGGAUGAGAUGUGGGUAGAGGUGAAAUUCCAAUCGAACGCGGAGAUAGCUGGUUCUCCCCGAAAUAGCUUUAGGGCUAGCCUCAAGUAGUAAGUAUAGGCGGUAGAGCACUGAUCGGGCUAGGGGCCGUAAAGGUUACCGAACCCUGUCAAACUCCGAAUGGUUAUACUGCAGAGCUUGGGAGUCAGACUACGAGUGAUAAGAUCCGUGGUCAAAAGGGAAACAGCCCAGACCACCAGCUAAGGUCCCCAAUGCCGUACUAAGUGGAAAAGGAUGUGGGGUCUCAUAAACAACCAGGAUGUUGGCUUAGAAGCAGCCACCAUUUAAAGAGUGCGUAAUAGCUCACUGGUCGAGAGACCCUGCGCCGAAGAUUACCGGGGCUAAAGUACGGAACCGAAGCUGUGGCUACAUACUUAGGUAUGUGGGGUAGGGGAGCGUUCCCAUAGGAUUGAAGUCGUACUGUAAGGUACGGUGGACUUAUGGGAAGUGAGAAUGUUGGUAUGAGUAGCGAAAAGAAAGGUGAGAAUCCUUUCCACCGAAAGCAUAAGGAUUCCUGGGCAACGAUCGUCGUCCCAGGGUAAGUCGGGACCUAAUCCGAGGCAGAGAGCGUAGGAGAUGGACAACUGGUUGAUAUUCCAGUACCGGUGAUAAUUGUCUGAGCGAUGGAGUGACACAGGAGGGCAGGUCAGCAGGAGAUUGGAAGUUCCUGUGAAAGCGUGUAGGAUGGCAGACAGGCAAAUCCGUCUGCUGAAAGUCUGAGGCGUGAGACGAGAUGGUAGAAAUACCGUCGAAGUGAUUGACCCCACACUGUCGAGAAAAGCUUCUAGUGAGAUUAUAACCGCCCGUACCGUAAACCGACACAGGUAUGCGGGGAGAGAAUCCUAAGGUGCGCGGGAGAACCCUCGUUAAGGAACUCGGCAAAAUGUACCCGUAACUUCGGGAUAAGGGUAGCCGCUGUUGUGAAGUCUCAAGCAGAUGGAGCAUAAGGCGGUCGCAGAGAAGAGGCCCAAGCGACUGUUUACCACAAACACAGGUGCCUGCUAAAGCGAAAGCUGACGUAUAGGUGCUGACACCUGCCCAGUGCCGGAAGGUUAAGGAAGGAUGUCCGGAUUAGUCCAAAGCAUUCGACCGAAGCCCCGGUGAACGGCGGCCGUAACUAUAACGGUCCUAAGGUAGCGAAAUUCCUUGUCGGGUAAG
rnacentral:rRNA from 1 species